rnacentral:tRNA from 1 species
GGUAGCGUGGUCGAGCGGUCUAAGGCGCUAGUUAAAGGCACCAGUCUCUUCGGGGGCGUGGGUUCAAAUCCCACCGCUGCCA